GCCUUCGUGGUGUAAUGGUCAGCACACUGAGCCGGUAUUUCAGCGAUCCGUGGUUCGAUUCCCGGCGAAGGCG
rfam:Stegodyphus mimosarum contig61566, whole genome shotgun sequence.